rnacentral:lncRNA from 1 species
UAAAGAAGUGAUGAGUGAGAACAGAGUUGGACUGUGGACAUAACCCUGAGGAGCACCGCACCAUGUUGCUGUGUUUCACCACUUGUGGUUUGCUGUGAUGAUGAAAUCCAGUGUCUAAUUGCCAGACAAGCUGCACAAACUCAGUGUUUCACAUUUCCAUAGUUUAUUUGAGAAAAUAACAGCUGAAUUUCAGAACUAAAGUUUAAACCAGAGAUGCCUCAGUGGUUCCAAACCAGUGAAGUCUAACACGUGGUGGUCGUCCAAGCUGCAGGAGGUCCAGCCCAGUCCAGAUGGGGAGAAGUUGCCUUGUGGGUAUUUGGGCCUCCUGCUUUGGAUUCCCUCAGUGGUGGUCUUGGACAGAAGCACAACAGAUGCCCAAACAAGUCAGAGCAGAGCAACUUGGGAAGCAUCCCGGCAAUGUUGCCCCUCUUUCAUCCGGAAUUCCACACAGUCAUAGUCUGGAAUAUUUCAAUUCCCGUUCCGAUGCCACAUGGAAGAUACAUUAGCUGGCUGACCUCUGACCCCUUGUGUGUUUCUUUGGCUCUGUGUGUGUGUGUGAGGCACAAAAAUAAACAUUUGUAUGCACAA